rnacentral:rRNA from 1 species
UACAGAGGGGCGAGCGUUGUUCGGAAUUACUGGGCGUAAAGCGCACGUAGGCGGCUUUGUAAGUUAGAGGUGAAAGCCCGGGGCUCAACUCCGGAAUUGCCUUUAAGACUGCAUCGCUAGAAUUGUGGAGAGGUAAGUGGAAUUCCGAGUGUAGAGGUGAAAUUCGUAGAUAUUCGGAAGAACACCAGUGGCGAAGGCGACUUACUGGACACAUAUUGACGCUGAGGUGCGAAAGCGUGGGGAGCAAACAGG